UACCUACGGGGCGCAGCAGUGAGGAAUAUUGGUCAAUGGCCGGGAGGCUGAACCAGCCAAGUCGCGUGAGGGAAGACGGCCCUACGGGUUGUAAACCUCUUUUGUCAGGGAGCAAGGUGCAGGUCGGGACCUGCUGUGAGAGUACCUGAAGAAAAAGCAUCGGCUAACUCCGUGCCAGCAGCCGCGGUAAUACGGAGGAUGCGAGCGUUAUCCGGAUUUAUUGGGUUUAAAGGGUGCGCAGGCGGAAUGUCAAGUCAGCGGUAAAAUUUCGGGGCUCAACCCCGUCGUGCCGUUGAAACUG
rnacentral:rRNA from 1 species